rnacentral:rRNA from 1 species
GCUAAAAAUCUAACCCAAAAUCUCUUAAUACUCACCCAGGUUUUCUUUUCUUAAUUAAACCAUUUUAUAGUUAUAGUAAAGGCGAUCAAAAUAUCUUUUGGAGUUAUAUCUCUAGUACCGCAAGGGAAUGAUGAAAUAAAAAUGAAACAAUUAUUAAGCACCAAACAGUAGAGAUUUAUCCUCGUACCUUUCGCAUCAUGAUUUAACUAGUUAUAUCAAGCAAAACGUAUUAAAGUUUGCCACCCCGAAACUAAGCGAGCUACUUCAGGGCAGCUUCAAGAGCCAACCCGUCUCUGUUGCAAAAGAGUGGGAAGACCCUCAAGUAGAGGUGAUAGACCUAACGAGCCUAGUGAUAGCUGGUUACUUAAGAAAAGGAUCUUAGUCCAACCCAAUUUUUAUUUAAUAUACCUAAAUAUAAACUAAGCUUUGGAGUAAUUCAAAUAAGGUACAGCCUAUUUGAAUUAGGAUACAACCUCUACAAAUGGGUAACUAAAUUUUUAUAUAAUAAAGUAGGCCUAAAAGCAGCCAUCUCCAAAAAGCGUCAAAGCUUAUUUAUAUCUUAACUAAAUUCCAAUAAUUAUCAAAAACCCUUAAUUUAUAUUAAGUAAUUCUAUAAAAUUAUAGAACCUAUUAUGUUAAAACUAGUAACAAGGACAAGACCUUCUCUUAAAUGUGAGUGUAAAUCAGAGUGGACAAGCCACUGAUUUUUAACAUCUCAUUAAAGUAACAACUAAUCAAGAAAAUUUUACUUAUUAUAAUGUUAAUCUGACACAAGAGCAUUCCAAGAUGAUUAAAAGGAAAAGAAGGAACUCGGCAAAUAUUAACCUCGCCUGUUUACCAAAAACAUCGCCUCCUGAUUAACAUAGGAGGUCCAGCCUGCCCAGUGACUCUGUUUAACGGCCGCGGUAUCCUAACCGUGCGAAGGUAGCGUAAUCACUUGUUCUUUAAAUGAGGACUAGUAUGAAUGGCAUCACGAGGGUUAUACUGUCUCCUUUUCCAAAUCAGUGAAACUAAUCUCCCCGUGAAGAAGCGGGGAUAAAAAUAUAAGACGAGAAGACCCUAUGGAGCUUAAAACUUUCAACAAUUAUAUUUUAUUUAUAAACCUAAAGGUAACCAAACUAAUCCUUAUAGUAUGUUUGUUAGUUUUCGGUUGGGGUGACCGCGGAGUAAAACCUACCCUCCAUAUUGAAUUAAAUUAUUCUUAUUAGCAAAAAACUACAAUUUUAUGCAUCAAAAAAUUGACAUUAUUGACCCAAUAUUUUGAUCAACGAACCAAGUUACCCUAGGGAUAACAGCGCAAUCCAUCUCAAGAGCUCAUAUCGACGGAUGGGUUUACGACCUCGAUGUUGGAUCAGGAUAUCCUAGUGGUGCAGCCGCUACUAAAGGUUCGUUUGUUCAACGAUUAAAAUCCU